UUGCUCCUACGGGGGGCAGCAGUGAGGAAUAUUGGUCAAUGGUCGGGAGACUGAACCAGCCACGCCGCGUGAGGGAGGAAGGUACAGAGUAUCGUAAACCUCUUUUGUCAGGGAACAAAGGCUGGGACGCGUCCCCGGAUGAGUGUACCUGAAGAAAAAGCAUCGGCUAACUCCGUGCCAGCAGCCGCGGUAAUACGGAGGAUGCGAGCGUUAUCCGGAUUUAUUGGGUUUAAAGGGUGCGUAGGCGGACUUUUAAGUCAGCGGUAAAAAUUCGGGGCUCAACCCCGUCCGGCCGUUGAAACUGG
rnacentral:rRNA from 1 species